GGCGAACGCUGGCGGCGUGCCUAAUACAUGCAAGUCGAACGAAGCUGUUUUAACUGGUGCUUGCACCGACUUAAACAACUGAGUGGCGAACGGGUGAGUAACACGUGGGUAACCUGCCCCAAAGCGGGGGAUAACAUUUGGAAACAGAUGCUAAUACCGCAUAAUCACAGAAACCACAUGGUUUCUGUGUCAAAGAUGGUUUCGGCUAUCACUUUGGGAUGGACCCGCGGCGUAUUAGCUAGUUGGUAAGGUAAUGGCUUACCAAGGCAAUGAUACGAAGCCGAACUGAGAGGUUGAUCGGCCACAUUGGGACUGAGACACGGCUCAAACUCCUACGGGAGGCAGCAGUAGGGAAUCUUCCACAAUGAACGAAAGUCUGAUGGAGCAACGCCGCGUGGGUGAAGAAGGUUUUCGGAUCGUAAAACUCUGUUGUCAGAGAAGAACGUGUGCGAGAGUAACUGUUCGUGCAGUGACGGUAUCUGGCCAGAAAGCCACGGCUAACUACGUGCCAGCAGCCGCCGUAA
rnacentral:rRNA from 1 species